AUGAACGCUAGCGGCAGGCUUAACACAUGCAAGUCGAGGGGCAUCGGGAGUAGCAAUACUGCCGGCGACCGGCGCAAGGGUGCGUAACGCGUGAGCAACAUGCCCGUAUCAGGGGGGAUAAUCCAUGGAAACGUGGUCUAAUACCCCAUAGUAAUUAUGUAAGGCAUCUUAUAUAAUUUAAAGCUUUGGUGGAUACGGAUUGGCUCGCGUGACAUUAGCUAGAUGGUAAGGUAACGGCUUACCAUGGCUACGAUGUCUAGGGGUUCUGAGAGGAAGGUCCCCCACACUGGAACUGAGACACGGUCCAGACUCCUACGGGAGGCAGCAGUGAGGAAUAUUGGACAAUGGAUGGAAAUCUGAUCCAGCCAUGCCGCGUGCAAGGAAGACGGCCCUAUGGGUUGUAAACUGCUUUUGUAUGGGAGCAAUAAGGGCUACGCGUAGUCCGAUGAGAGUACCAUACGAAUAAGCACCGGCUAACUCCGUGCCAGCCGCCGC
rnacentral:rRNA from 1 species